GACGAACGCUGGCGGCGUGCCUAAUACAUGCAAGUAGAACGCUGAAGGAGGAGCUUGCUUCUCUGGAUGAGUUGCGAACGGGUGAGUAACGCGUAGGUAACCUGCCUGGUAGCGGGGGAUAACUAUUGGAAACGAUAGCUAAUACCGCAUAACAGUAGAUAUCGCAUGAUAUCUACUUGAAAGGUGCAAUUGCAUCACUACCAGAUGGACCUGCGUUGUAUUAGCUAGUUGGUGAGGUAACGGCUCACCAAGGCGACGAUACAUAGCCGACCUGAGAGGGUGAUCGGCCACACUGGGACUGAGACACGGCCCAGACUCCUACGGGAGGCAGCAGUAGGGAAUCUUCGGCAAUGGACGGAAGGCUGACCGAGCAACGCCGCGUGAGUGAAGAAGGGUUUCGGAUCGUAAAGCUCUGUUGUAAGAGAAGAACGAGUGUGAGAGUGGAAAGUUCACACUGUGACGGUAUCUUACCAGAAAGGGACGGCUAACUACGUG
rnacentral:rRNA from 1 species